UUUACACUGCAGAUGUUGGCGUUACAAGUGGGGGUAGUCCUGUGAACAGAGUGCUUAAAUCUGUGUGUAACUCUCUGCAGGAUCAGGACCAAUUUGUUGGCCAUGCUGCACCCUUUUCUUCAUCCUAAAAUGCUCCUUGGAUGCUAACUGGCUGUUUUGGCUUCGGAAGGAUUACAAGACUGGAUUAGCACAAGCUCUUUGUUGUUUUUCUGGACACUGACUCCUCCAGGAGUACUUAAAGAGCUAGGGGGAAUGCAUAUGAGAGAGCACUGAUAUGAAGAAAACUUCCCGAAGGUCAUGCAAAGGCAAACUUGUCUAGUGAGGAAUUGCCUUUCAGAAUAGACUGCAGCCUCAGCCUUCCACGGAAAGUUUCACAAGGUGAAUGGAUUGUGAUACUACUCCUAAGUAUCUGCCGUUAAAGGAGAUUUUUGCUCAUCACCAGCACGGUGUAGGGAUCGGUUGUCAUGAAAAGGAUUGCAGUACCUCUAGACUGCUUAAAAUUUCUGCAGAGCAACGGGAAAACCAGAAUUGCUUUUCAGGCUGUUGAGGUACUCAUCGGGGCCAUCCCCCGUCCCACCAAAAGAGCUCAGGUUUUGGGGGGCUGA